AACGUAGGAGGCAAGCGUUAUCCGGAGUUACUGGGCGUAAAGCGUGCGUAGGCGGAUCUGUAAGUGGGUGGUGAAAGCGCCCGGCUAAACCGGGCGAGGUCCAUUCAGACUGCAGGUCUAGAGGCGGAUAGAGGGGUGCGGAAUUCCGGGUGUAGCGGUGAAAUGUGUAGAGAUCCGGAGGAACACCAGUGGUGCAAACGGCGCCCUGGGUCCGAACUGACGCUGAAGCACGAAAGCGUGGGGAGCGAACGGG
rnacentral:rRNA from 1 species